ACCGUACUCCUACGGGAGGCAGCAGUGGGGAAUUUUGGACAAUGGGGGUAACCCUGAUCCAGCAAUGCCGCGUGAGUGAAGAAGGCCUUCGGGUUGUAAAGCUCUUUUGUCAGGGAAGAAACGGUAGUAGCUAAUAUCUAUCACUAAUGACGGUACCUAAAGAAUAAGCGCCGGCUGACUACGUGCCAGCAGCCGCGGUAAUACGUAGGGUGCAAGCGUUAAUCGGAAUUACUGGGCGUAAAGCGUGCGCAGGCGGUUGUGUAAGUCAGAUGUGAAAUCCCCGGGCUCAACCUGGGAAUUGCGUUUGAGACUGCAUGGCUAGAGUGUGUCAGAGGGGGGUAGAAUUCCACGUGUAGCAGUGAAAUGCGUAGAUAUGUGGAGGAAUACCGAUGGCGAAGGCAGCCCCCUGGGAUAACACUGACGCUCAUGCACGAAAGCGUGGGGAGCAAACAGGAUUAGAAACCCUUGUAGUCCUUGAC
rnacentral:rRNA from 1 species